rnacentral:rRNA from 1 species
UACGGAGGAUGCGAGCGUUAUCCGGAUUUAUUGGGUUUAAAGGGUGCGUAGGCGGUCCGUUAAGUCAGCGGUAAAAUUGCGGGGCUCAACCCCGUCGAGCCGUUGAAACUGUCAGACUUGAGUUGGCGAGAAGUACGCGGAAUGCGCGGUGUAGCGGUGAAAUGCAUAGAUAUCGCGCAGAACUCCGAUUGCGAAGGCAGCCUUCCGGCGCCCUACUGACGCUGAGGCACGAAAGUGCGGGGAUCGAACAGG